rnacentral:rRNA from 1 species
CCUACGGGUGGCAGCAGUGGGGAAUAUUGCACAAUGGGGGAAACCCUGAUGCAGCAACGCCGCGUGAGUGAAGAAGGUCUUCGGAUUGUAAAGCUCUGUUCGCAGGGAAGAAAGUGAUGGUGCGUGAUUGCGCAUCCUCCGCUACCGCCGAGCCAGCAGCCGCGGUCAUACUUCGGGGGAGAGCGUUAUCCGGAAUUACUGGGGGUAGAGGGAGCGUAGACGGUAGAACAAGUCUGGAGUGAAAGGCCGGGGCUUAACCGCGGAACUGCUUUGGAAACUGUGCGACUUGAGUGCAGGAGAGGUAAGUGGAAUUCCUAGUGUAGCGGUGAAAUGCGUAGAUAUCAGGAGGAACACCAGUGGCGAAGGCGGCUUACUGGACUGUAACUGACGCUGAGGUUCGAAAGCGUGGGGAGCAAACAGGAUUAGAUACCCUAGUAGUC